ACUGGGUGUUAGUGAUUCUGAGAUAAGUUGUCUGACUGGGUGUUAGUGAUUCUGAGGUAAGCUGUCUGACUGGGUGUGAGUGAUUCUGUGGUAAGUUGUCUGGGUGUGAGUGAUUCUGAGGUAAGUUGUCUGACUGGGUGUGAGUGAUUCUGAGGUAAGUUGUCUGACUGAGUGUGAGUGAUUCUGAGGUAAGUUGUCUGACUGGGUGUGAGUGAUUCUGAGGUGACUGGGUGUUGGUGAUUCUGAGGUAAGUUGUCUGACUGGGUGUGAGUGAUUCUGAGGUGACUGGGUGUUAGUGAUUCUGAGGUAAGUUGUCUGACUGAGUGUGAGUGAUUCUGAGGUAAGUUGUCUGACUGGGUGUGAGUGAU